AAACGUCUUCCUGUAACGACGGUAUUGCUUGUUCAGCUAAAAGGUCUUUUGUGCCGCUGCGGCUGAUUCACCCGGCGCCGCGGCUGCUCUAAGCUGUUCCCGUCUGGUGUUUUCCCUUGCUGGAAAAAGCGAGACAGUCAGGGAGGAAGAGUUCGUUGCCGCUGCCCCUGCCCUCCUCCACUCCUCCCCCACGUCACGUCCCCCAGUUUUCCACUUCCACUCCGCUCUACCAAAAAUGGCGAUAAUUGUUUCCACUCACUUUCCUCCACUGAUCCGGCUUCGGUGUCCUUCCUCCUCCUCCUCCUCCUCCUCCUCCGCCUCCGCUCUUGUCCCGGCCAAACGGAGGCGGGAGUUAGGGGCGGGGAGGUGGUGAGGCCGCGGUGGAAACGUAAUGGGGCUGCACACGACGCGGGCAGCCAACGAGGAAAAUGCGGAUUCUAGCAGAGUCUCCACCACCACCACCACCACCACCACCACCAUGACCUUCCUGGAGGAGGCGAUGGGGGCGGCUGGCUUCGAGGAGCAACUUUAUGUAACUGGCUUCACUACAUCAGGACGAUUACACUUCCCUGGACGACUCGAUGGCUUGUGGCUUGUGACGAGGCCGGAGACGAGGAGGGGCAGCCUGUGAGAUGCUUGAAAGAACUCAUCCAAUUAGUCUGCCUUGCUGUGCCUUCAGAAGUGGCGUCCAGCAGCCGUACACGCCGCCGCACGUCACUCAGCCUCCUCCGUCGAGUGUCUCAUCGAGGGAUCGUGACGUAGCAGGAGGGAAGGAAGAGAGGACGGGAAGUGUCUUCGCGGUAUCAAAUUGCUGGUUUUUGCCUCUGGACUCUUGCGUAUGCCAGCACAGGUGAGGGAGGAGCCAGCACAGAACCUGUAAAGGAAAACAAGAUAAAGAAGGAAAUAGAGGAAAAGACAGGGACGACGAGAUGAGCCUGAAUCAGUGUCACACGCCAAGGAAUUUCCGGAUAUUACUACAAGAUACAAGAUGGUUCAGAAUUUACCACUGCAGAAGCACCAAUCAAUGGAGCAGCUCCUCACACUAUGCUACACCACUGACAUGUGACAUCUUUUACUGCUCGCAUUUCAAACCACGUCUUAAUCUCUUUGAAGG